AUUGAACGCUGGCGGCAGGCCUAACACAUGCAAGUCGAGCGGUAACACAGGGAGCUUGCUCCUGGGUGACGAGCGGCGGACGGGUGAGUAAUGUCUGGGAAACUGCCUGAUGGAGGGGGAUAACUACUGGAAACGGUAGCUAAUACCGCAUAACGUCGCAAGACCAAAGAGGGGGACCUUCGGGCCUCUUGGCAUCAGAUGUGCCCAGAUGGGAUUAGCUAGUAGGUGGGGUAAUGGCUCACCUAGGCGACGAUCCCUAGCUGGUCUGAGAGGAUGACCAGCCACACUGGAACUGAGACACGGUCCAGACUCCUACGGGAGGCAGCAGUGGGGAAUAUUGCACAAUGGGCGCAAGCCUGAUGCAGCCAUGCCGCGUGUAUGAAGAAGGCCUUCGGGUUGUAAAGUACUUUCAGCGGGGAGGAAGGUGUUGAGGUUAAUAACCUCAGCAAUUGACGUUACCCGCAGAAGAAGCACCGGCUAACUCCGUGCCAGCAGCCGCCGUAACAC
rnacentral:rRNA from 1 species